ACUCCUACGGGAGGCAGCAGUGGGGAAUAUUGCACAAUGGGGGAAACCCUGAUGCAGCCAUGCCGCGUGUGUGAAGAAGGCCUUCGGUUGUAAGCACUUUCAGUAGGGAGGAAGGUAGUGUAGUUAACACCUGCAUUAUUUUGACGUUACCUACAGAAGAAGCACCGGCUAACUCCGUGCCAGCAGCCGCGGUAAUACGGAGGGUGCGAGCGUUAAUCGGAAUUACUGGGCGUAAAGCGCAUGCAGGCGGCCUGUUAAGUCAGAUGUGAAAGCCCGGGGCUUAACCUCGGAAUUGCAUUUGAAACUGGCAGGCUAGAGUCUUGUAGAGGGGGGUAGAAUUUCAGGUGUAGCGGUGAAAUGCGUAGAGAUCUGAAGGAAUACCAGUGGCGAAGGCGGCCCCUGGACAAAGACUGACGCUCAGAUGCGAAAGCGUGGGGAGCAAACGNGGAUUAGAUACCCUGGUAGUCAGUCAAGUCGUGGAGAC
rnacentral:rRNA from 1 species